CGAUCUUCUACAGACAGACGACAACAUCCAAUUUCUUCAGAAUUGUGAGUCCGUGUCCUCUGCAUCUGGAUCUGAUGAGUUGCCGAGUUUCUCAUUUCAGCCAUACUGCUCUUUUGAGGACAUAAGAAAACUUAUAUGUGAGCUUGCUGGGAGACUGGAGACUACUUGCACGCAGGAAAUAAGCAAAACAGUUAAUAAAGUUUCAGAUUUGUCAGCAAAGAGGCCUCCAUUUGACAUUGUAGUUGGAGACAGAGUCCGAGUGAAGCCGUCUGUUGUUACUCCAACACACAAAUGGGGAUCGGUUACUCACUUUAGCAUUGGUGUUGUUAAAAGUGAGAGCACUGACUGAUAGUGAUUUGUAUUUAUAUUAGGCAUGACAAUUCCUGUUAUUUAGCACAAUAAGUAAAAUGAUAUAUAUAC